CAGUCGUAUCACGUUGAAACUCCCGUUCGCGUCCGAUCACCGAAGUUAAGCAUCAUUGAGCCUAGUCAGGACUAGAAUGGGUGACUGCUGCCGAA